rnacentral:rRNA from 1 species
AUGUGUUUGGUUGCAGACGCGGGCACCGUGGGCGUGAACUGGGGGCGGGUGGCGAACGACCUGCCCAGCCCGGCGGCGGUGGUGCAGCUGCUCAAGCAGCACGGCAUCGCGCAGGUCAAGCUCUACGACACGGAGCCCGCCGUGCUGCGCGCGCUCGCCGGCAGCGGCAUCAAGGUGGUCGUCGCGCUGCCCAACGAGCAGCUCGCGGCCGCCGCCAGGCGCCCCUCGUACGCGCUCGCCUGGGUGCGCCGCAACGUCGCCGCCUACUACCCGGCCACGCAGAUCCAGGGCAUCGCCGUCGGCAACGAGGUGUUCGCCACGGCCGCCAACGUCACGGCGCAGCUCGUACCGGCCAUGAUCAACGUGCACGCGGCCUUGGCCAGGCUCAACAUGGACAAGGCCGUCAAGGUGUCGUCCCCCGUCGCGCUCUCCGCGCUCGCCAACUCGUACCCGCCCUCCGCCGGCGUGUUCAAGGAAGAGCUCGCGCAGUCGGUGAUGAAGCCCAUGCUCGACUUCCUGGCGCGGACCGGCUCCGACCUCAUGGUCAACUGCUACCCGUUCUUCGCCUACGCGGACAAUGCCGGCGUCAUCUCGCUCGACUACGCGCUCUUCCGCCCCAACGCCGGCGAGCUCGACUCCGGGAGCGGCCUCAAGUACUACAGCCUCCUGGACGCGCAGCUGGACGCCGUGUUCGCGGCCGUGGGCAGGCUGGGCAGCUACAACGGCGUGCACGUGGUGGUGUCGGAGACGGGGUGGCCGUCCAAGGGCGACGCCAAGGAGGUCGGCGCCGGCGCGGCCAACGCCGCGGCGUACAACGGGAACCUGGUCCGGCGCGUGCUGUCCAGGAACGCCGGCACCCCGCGCCGCCCCGACGCGGACGUGGACGUGUACCUCUUCGCGCUCUUCAACGAGAACCAGAAGCCCGGGCCGACCUCGGAGCGGAACUACGGCGUGUUCUACCCGAACCAGCAGAAGGUGUACGACGUGGAGUUCGUCCUCGGCGCCGGCGGCGGCUCCGUGGGCGGCGCCGGCGGCCUUGGGUGGCAGGACAACGGCGGCGGCAAUGCGCCUCCCGUGAGCGGGGCGGGAGGGGGGGUGGUGAGGGCGGCGGCGACGCCGGGGUCGGCGUGGUGCGUGGCGAACGCGAUGGCGGGCGAGGCGCGGCUGCAGGCGGCGCUGGACUACGCGUGCGGGCCGGGCGACGCGGACUGCAAGGGCAUCCAGCCCGGCGCGGCGUGCUUCGAGCCCAACACCAUGGUCGCCCACGCGUCCUACGCCUUCAACGACUACUACCAGCGCAAGGGCCGCUCCAUCGGCACCUGCGACUUCGCCGGCGCCGCCUACGUCGUCAACCAAGCACCAAAGAUGGGCAAGUGCGAGCUCCCCUCCACGGUCUGA